AGCAGCCGCGGUAAUUCCAGCUCCAAUAGCGUAUAUUAAAGUUGUUGCAGUUAAAAAGCUCGUAGUUGAAUUUCGGGAUUGGCGCAUCGGUCGUGCCUUACGAGGUAUGAACUGGUGCAGUCAAUUUCUCACCUUCUGGAGAACCGCGAUGUCCUUAAUUGGGUGCCGCGGGGAACCAGGACCUUUACUUUGAAAAAAUUAGAGUGUUUAAAGCAGGCAUUUUUGCUUGAAUACAUUAGCAUGGAAUAAUAAAAUAGGACGGCAUGGUUCUAUUUUGUUGGUUUCUAGGACCACCGUAAUGAUUAAUAGGGAUAGUUGGGGGCAUUAGUAUUCAAUUGUCAGAGGUGAAAUUCUUGGAUUUAUUGAAGACUAACUACUGCGAAAGCAAUUGCCAAGGAUGUUUUCUAUUAAUCAAGAACGAAAGUUAGGGGAUCGAAGACGAUCAGAUAC
rnacentral:rRNA from 1 species